rnacentral:rRNA from 1 species
AUGUCUCAGUACAUACCGAAAUUAAGGUGAAACCGCGAAAGGCUCAUUAAAUCAGUUAUGGUUCCUUAGAUCGUACCACAUUUACUUGGAUAACUGUGGUAAUUCUAGAGCUAAUACAUGCAAACAGAGCUCUAACCGGAGACGGGAGGAGUGCUUUUAUUAGAUCAAAACCAAUUGUGUCAUCCCUAUGGCUCUAUAUGAUUCUGUAUCUUAGCGUACGUUCAUAUAUCCAGGGUGUAUGUUCACAUAAUAUAAAUGGUGAAUCUGAAUAACAUGCUGAUCGCAUGGUCUCGUACCGCCGACGCAUCUUUCAAAUGUCUGCCUUAUCAACUUUCGAUGGUAGGAUCUG